rnacentral:rRNA from 1 species
ACGAACGCUGGCGGCGCGCCUAAUACAUGCAAGUCGAGCGAGAAGGUGUAGCAAUACACUUGUAAAGCGGCGAACGGGUGAGGAAUACAUGGGUAACCUACCCUCGAGUGGGGAAUAACUAGCCGAAAGGUUAGCUAAUACCGCAUACGAUUCCAGGACUUCGGUACUGGAAGGAAAGCACUACCGUGGGUAGUGCGCUCCUGGAUGGGCUCAUGUCCUAUCAGCUUGUUGGUGAGGUAAAGGCUCACCAAGGCUUCGACGGGUAGCUGGUCUGAGAGGACGAUCAGCCACACUGGCACUGCGACACGGGCCAGACUCCUACGGGAGGCAGCAGUAAGGAAUAUUGCGCAAUGGGCGACAGCCUGACGCAGCGACGCCGCGUGGGGGAUGAAGGUCUUCGGAUUGUAAA